AGAGCCCAAACUCCCCUUAAUGAUAUGCCACAACUAGAUACAUCAACAUGACUCCUCACUAUCCUAUCUAUACUCCUAACCCUAUUUGUAUUAUUUCAACUAAAAAUUUCAAAACACUCCCACUCCCCCAACCCCAAAUUAGUACUAACCAAAACACAAAAACAACAAACCCCUUGAGACACCACAUGAACGAAAAUCUAUUUGCCCCUUUCAUAACCCCAGUUAUAGUAGGUAUUCCUAUCACCACCCUAAUUAUUAUCCUCCCAUCCAUUUUAUUCCCAACACCAAACCGACUAAUCAACAACCGCACAAUCUCUAUCCAACAAUGAUUAACUAAACUAACAUCAAAACAACUAAUAAAUACGCACAGCCCUAAAGGACAAACCUGAUCUCUAAUACUUAUUUCAUUAUUCCUAUUUAUUGCCUCCACCAAUCUCCUUGGAAUAUUACCCCACUCAUUCACACCCACCACACAACUCUCAAUAAAUGUAGGAAUAGCCAUCCCCCUAUGAGCUGGCACUGUUUUUACUGGAUUCCGCAACAAAACAAAAAUAUCCUUAGCACACCUACUACCACAAGGCACACCCACCUUUCUUAUUCCUAUGCUAGUAAUUAUCGAAACUAUUAGCCUAUUCAUUCAACCAGUAGCACUGGCCGUACGACUAACUGCCAACAUUACAGCAGGUCACCUACUAAUACAUUUAAUUGGAGAAGCAACCCUUGCACUAAUAAAUAUCAGCCUAUUUACAACCCUUAUCACCUUUGUUAUUCUUACUCUAUUAACCAUCCUUGAAUUCGCUGUCGCCUUAAUCCAAGCCUACGUAUUCACCCUCCUAGUAAGCCUAUACCUUCAUGAUAACACAUAAUGACCCACCAAACCCACUCAUAUCACAUAGUAAACCCCAGUCCUUGACCCCUCACUGGAGCUCUAUCAGCACUUCUUAUAACAUCAGGCCUAAUUAUGUGAUUCCAUUUCAACUCAAUAAUCUUGCUAACUUUAGGCUUACUAACAAAUAUCUUAACAAUAUACCAAUGAUGACGAGACAUUAUCCGAGAAAGCACAUUCCAAGGCCAUCACACACCAACCGUCCAAAAAGGACUUCGAUAUGGAAUAAUCCUAUUUAUCAUCUCAGAAGUCCUAUUCUUCACAGGCUUCUUCUGAGCCUUCUACCACUCAAGCCUCGCUCCUACUCCAGAACUAGGUGGAUGUUGACCACCAACAGGCAUCCACCCCUUAAAUCCCCUAGAAGUUCCCCUUCUCAAUACCUCUGUGCUGUUGGCCUCCGGUGUAUCCAUUACCUGAGCUCACCAUAGUCUAAUAGAAGGAAACCGUAAACACAUACUUCAAGCGCUCUUCAUCACAAUUGCACUAGGUCUCUAUUUCACCCUACUACAAGCAUCAGAAUAUUACGAAGCCCCUUUCACAAUUUCUGACGGAAUCUACGGAUCUACAUUCUUCGUAGCCACGGGCUUUCAUGGAUUACACGUAAUUAUCGGAUCUACCUUCCUCAUUGUUUGCUUCCUACGUCAAAUAAAAUUCCACUUUACAUCAAACCACCAUUUUGGCUUCGAAGCCGCUGCUUGAUAUUGACAUUUUGUAGACGUCGUAUGAGUAUUUCUUUAUGUAUCUAUCUAUUGAUGAGGCUCCUA